rnacentral:rRNA from 1 species
GAGUUUGAUCAUGGCUCAGAUUGAACGCUGGCGGCAUGCCUUACACAUGCAAGUCGAACGGCAGCAUGAUCUAGCUUGCUAGAUUGAUGGCGAGUGGCGAACGGGUGAGUAAUACAUCGGAACGUGCCCUGUAGUGGGGGAGUAACUAGUCGAAGAUUAGCUAAUACCGCAUACGACCUGAGGGUGGAAAGUGGGGGACCGCAAGGCCUCAUGCUAUAGGAGCGGCCGAUGUCUGAUUAGCUAGUUGGUGGGGUAAAGGGCCCACCAAGGCGACGAUCAGUAGCUGGUCUGAGAGGACGAUCAGCCACACUGGGGACUGAGACACGGGCCCAGACUCCUACGGGAGGCAGCAGUGGGGGAAUUUUGGACAAUGGGCGAAAGCCUGAUCCAGCAAUGCCGCGUGUGUG